CCUACGGGUGGCAGCAGUGAGGAAUAUUGGUCAAUGGGCGGAAGCCUGAACCAGCAACGCCGCGUGGAGGAUGAAGGUUUUCGGAUUGUAAACUCCUUUUGUUGGGGAGCAAGGCCCGCCACGUGUGGCGGGAAGGAGAGUACCCGAAGAAAAAGCAUCGGCUAACUCCGUGCCAGCAGCCGCGGUAAUACGGAGGAUGCGAGCGUUAUCCGGAUUUAUUGGGUUUAAAGGGUGCGUAGGCGGAAGGUUAAGUCAGCGGUCAAAUGUCGGUGCUCAACACCGGCCUGCCGUUGAAACUGGUCUUCUUGAGUGAGCGAGAAGUAUGCGGAAUGCGUGGUGUAGCGGUGAAAUGCAUAGAUAUCACGCAGAACUCCGAUUGCGAAGGCAGCAUACCGGCGCUCAACUGACGCUGAGGCACGAAAGCGUGGGGAUCGAACAGGAUUAGAUACCCUGGUAGUC
rnacentral:rRNA from 1 species